rnacentral:rRNA from 1 species
UACAGAGGGUGCGAGCGUUAAUCGGAAUUACUGGGCGUAAAGCGCUCGUAGGCGGCUUGUUAAGUCGGCUGUGAAAUCCCUGGGCUCAACCUAGGCAUUGCAUUCGAUACUGGCAAGCUAGAGUAUGGGAGAGGAAGGUAGAAUUCCAGGUGUAGCGGUGAAAUGCGUAGAGAUCUGGAGGAAUACCGAUGGCGAAGGCAGCCUUCUGGCCUAAUACUGACGCUGAGGUGCGAAAGCAUGGGGAGCAAACAGG